GUACUGUGACAAGGACAUCUUACCUGGGACAGUUUUCGAAUCUGUCGCAAACAAGAUGUUCCUCUACUUCGAAUCUCGAGCAUACUGGCUCAAGGGGUGGUCUGCCACUAUCAGGUUCAUACCCAUAAAUGGAUGUAGUAAUAGUACACCAGCUCCUACUUGUACUCAGCAAGUGAUCAGUACCACUGCAUUAAGAUGGACUUCUCCCCUCUUUGGACAAAGCAAUUAUCCCGAUGCUGCGAAUUGUUCUAUCAAUUUAACUACUACUGUGCCAGCAUGGGCUAAAAUUACUGUCAACAGUUUCUCAUUAGAAACUGGG